rnacentral:rRNA from 1 species
GAUGAACGCUGGCUACAGGCUUAACACAUGCAAGUCGAGGGGAAACGACGGGGAAGCUUGCUUCCCCGGGCGUCGACCGGCGCACGGGUGAGUAACGCGUAUCCAACCUGCCUCUGACUGAGGGAUAACCCGUCGAAAGUCGGCCUAAUACCUCAUGGCAUCGUCUGCGGGCAUCCAACGACGAUUAAAGAUUUCAUCGGUCAGGGAUGGGGAUGCGUCUGAUUAGCUUGUUGGCGGGGUAACGGCCCACCAAGGCUACGAUCAGUAGGGGUUCUGAGAGGAAGGUCCCCCACAUUGGAACUGAGACACGGUCCAAACUCCUACGGGAGGCAGCAGUGAGGAAUAUUGGUCAAUGGGCGAGAGCCUGAACCAGCCAAGUAGCGUGCAGGAAGACGGCCCUAUGGGUUGUAAACUGCUUUUAUGCGGGGAUAAAGUGAGGGACGUGUCCUUCAUUGCAGGUACCGCAUGAAUAAGGACCGGCUAAUUCCGUGCCAGCAGCCGCGGUAAUACGGAAGGUCCGGGCGUUAUCCGGAUUUAUUGGGUUUAAAGGGAGCGUAGGCCGUGGAUUAAGCGUGUUGUGAAAUGCAGGUGCUCAACGUCUGCACUGCAGCGCGAACUGGUCCACUUGAGUGUGCGCAACGCAGGCGGAAUUCGUCGUGUAGCGGUGAAAUGCUUAGAUAUGACGAAGAACUCCGAUUGCGAAGGCAGCUUGCGGGAGCACAACUGACGCUGAAGCUCGAAAGUGCGGGUAUCGAACAGG